GGGUAACAUGGAUAACCCUGGUAAUUCUGAGGCUAAUACAAGAACGUAAUCCCUGGCUGACCGGCAACGGAAGGCUGGGGGACGUGCAAUAGUUUUCGUAAGAUGAACCGGGAAAGGGUGCACGUUCGGACCGCGCUAAAGACGAAUCUCGGUGACCGCAAGGGUGAGCCUUGGCUCGAGCGGCUCUUGCGGUGUGCUUCUGACCUAUCAACUAGAUGGCAGCGUAAGGGACAUGCUAUGGUUACAACGGGUACAGAGGAUUAGGGUUCGAUCCUGGAGAGUGGGCCUGAGAGAUUGCUCAUACUUCUAAGGAAGGCAGCAGGCGCGCAACGUUCCCCUUGGGCAAUGCUCGAGGGCGUUAGGGGACAUAUGAAUGCCUGCCAUAUUGGUGGGCAAUUCAAAUGGGUCUGUUCUAAACAGCCUC
rnacentral:rRNA from 1 species